AUUGAACGCUGGCGGCAGGCUUAACACAUGCAAGUCGAGCGGAGAUGAGGUGCUUGCACCUUAUCUUAGCGGCGGACGGGUGAGUAAUGCUUAGGAAUCUGCCUAUUAGUGGGGGACAACAUUCCGAAAGGAAUGCUAAUACCGCACACGUCCUACGGGAGAAAGCAGGGGGUCUUCGGACCUUGCGCUAAUAGAUGAGCCUAAGUCGGAUUAGCUAGUUGGUGGGGUAAAGGCCUACCAAGGCGACGAUCUGUAGCGGGUCUGAGAGGAUGAUCCGCCACACUGGGACUGAGACACGGCCCAGACUCCUACGGGAGGCAGCAGUGGGGAAUAUUGGACAAUGGGGGAAACCCUGAUCCAGCCAUGCCGCGUGUGUGAAGAAGGCCUUAUGGUUGUAAAGCACUUUAAGCGAGGAGGAGGCUACUGAGACUAAUACUCUUGGAUAGUGGACGUUACUCGCAGAAUAAGCACCGGCUAACUCUGUGCCAGCCGCCGCGGUAA
rnacentral:rRNA from 1 species